GAUAAAUGUGCUUUUUGACUUGUACAUUUUCCAAAACAAAUGGUUCAAUUCUAUAAUAUCAGCCAUGUAUAUUUCCUUUUUGUCAAUGGCUGCUUCAAGCCCCUGUCUGGCUUUCUGUGUAAUAAUUCUUUGUCCUUUAUUUGGCAUCCAGCAGUGCCCUGGACAAGUGGCUGUGAAGUUAUUUGCAAGGCUGCAUUAAACCCGGGCGAGACCCUUCUCAGGGGAGCUGUCCAGCUACAUUCUCUGAGUGAAGAUAAGGUGUCGCUCUGUCUCCCAGGCUGGAGUGUAGUCGCUUGAUCACGGCUCACUGUAGACUUGACCUCCCGGGCUCAAGAGAUCCUCCCACUUCAGCCUCCUGAAUAGGUAGGACUACAGGCUCACACCACCAUGCCUGGAUAAUUUUUAUGUUUUUGGUAGUCAUGUUGCCCAGGCUGGUCUUGAACUCCUGGAUCAAGCAGUCCACCUGCCUCAGUCUCCCCAGGUUCUGGGAUUGCAGGCCAAAUGAGGCUGUUUUUAAUACCAGCUUCAUAUUUCCUCUCUAUUAUUCAGAAGGAACCAGAGGUGGCCAGAAUGUAGCAUCCUUUUGGCCAAAGUAAAUAUUUCAGGAACAGAUAGCUGACCCAUAAACAAAUCAGGCUCAAAUAGAGCUUAUCUCAGGAAUUGAGGCCGAACAAUUUACAAACAGGUGUUGUCUUUUCCACUGGACUUGGAGUGGUGGGGAUGUGAGCCUGUUGAUACCCUUUCCCCAUGAGAGAGAGCCUGAUAAAGGAAUGAGCCAAGAUGUGGAGAAAUACUGGGCCUCCAUGAGUCAUUUGAGUGCCUGGAUCCAGCCAAGCCUGGCGUCUAGGCUGUUUGGUUAUGCCAAUUUGAGUUUUCUCUCCAAGUGUUUUUACCAAUAUGCUUUUCAUGAGAUACUUUUUCUUGGAGCUAAAUGUCUGAUAUAACAAGAAUUCGCUUAAACACCCCUUCCCACCUGGCUCCACCCCUAAAACCAGAGCAAGCACUAUUAAAUAAAUUAUGACAGUCACCUUUGUCAUAUAAUUUAAAAUAGUAAUUUACUCUCUUUUCUCCUAGAAGAUACUUGGAAGUUUGUCUAGUACAAAGCUCCAUCUGAUCCUUCAGGUGCCUCUACAGAACGUCCACCAGGAGGGUUUCUGGCUUCUGCUUAAAUUAUCCUCAGGACCAGACAGCUCAGGAAUGCUUGAGGAAACACGUGCCAUUUCUAGGCAGCUUUAAUCAGGCUGAUUGGCAUCUGCCCGCCUGUCAUUUUGCCUUUUGGUCCUGAGCUAACUGCAGACCAAAUCUAAUCCCUCCUUCACAGGACUGACUUUCAGAUUGUUGAAAAUAGCUAAGCCUCCUCUAUCACACACCGGAAAAAUGUCCCCAACUUUUCCAGUGGGGCCAGUGUUGGUUUUCUUCACUGCCCUACCAUGAGCAUACUAUAAUGGGUUGUGAAUUUAUUUCAACUGGGAUUGCUUUCAUCUGUGAUUCCUAAAGUACUAUAUGUCCAUCAUAGACUAUGCAGAAAGGUAAGAAGAAAAAAAUGAAAACUCACCUGUGAGUAAGUGGCCAAGACAUGAGCCCCUUUGACCUUCUGAUGGCUCUUCCUCCAUUAGUUUUACGCAUGUGGUGCACACGUGGUUGUGCUGGUGUUGUGCCCCCUUCUUCCUUCUCUCUGCCCAAGAGGUUGGCCUACAGUGGGCCACACUUUCACAGGGGCUUCUGUGUCCCUGGGUUUCUGCUGGGUUUAGACAAUGAGGUGCUCAGGGCACAGAUCUGACAGAGGAGAGAGGUCAAAUUGUUUAUGUCCCUGAUUCCUCCCUGUGGAGUUGCCUGGGGCUGACUUGUCCCACUCAGGGCAGCCUACUUAACACUUCCCUCUGUCAUGACUGUAGUGACUUCUGUCCUGGGCCUUUUGCUACUUACUAGCUAUGAGCUACUGUCCUGGCCUUUGUAGUUCCUUGCUCCUACCCCUUUGCCAAUGACCCAUCCUUCCUUGUCCUAGUUGAGUGCUGUUUCCAGUAGGAACUUAAAACUAAUAUGAUUGUAUUUUGCAAAUGAGAAACAGACUCUGCACACUGACAUAUAACCUGCUGGGUCAUUUCUUGGGAUAUCGAAAACCUCUUUUCAUGUUGUUAAAUAUUCCUCUACAACAUGUGAUGAAUGGCUGAGUAGGUUUUAGAUAUAUUUUAAAACAAAUGUACCAGAGUUUAUUUCAACCUUGAGGAAUAGGAAGUUAGUUUUUCCUCCCAAUUUACUUUCUUCCUAUGACUUUGAAAGUACUUUGGUGAAUAUCCUUGUCAGUAAAUCUUUGCAUGUGUUCAUGUUUAUUUCCAUAGGAUAAAUCCGCGGAAGUAAAAUCUCUAGAUCAGUAGAAAUGAACAUCUGAGAAAGUUUUACUGUAUGUUGCCAGGUUACCCUCCAAAAUUUUUAAAAUAAUUGGCACUGCUUCCAGCUACCUGUUGGAAGAUUUGUUUUCUGACACUUUCUCCAACAUUAAGUACUAUAAUAAAAUAAUACUGUGUUUGCAUUGUAAUAGGUGAUCUCCAUUCCUUUGAAGAUGAAGUCCCUAGGAGUGAACCCAGACUCCAGGAUAGAAAGGAACAGACUCUAUCACCUUCUUUUUCCUGAGCAUAAUACCUUAAUUGAUAUAGCCUAAGAGAUAGUCACUAUGGUAGGCUGAAC
rnacentral:lncRNA from 1 species